rnacentral:lncRNA from 1 species
CUCCUAGCUUGGUGGGCACCUAGCUCUUCAAGUCCUACUCUGGCAAUUCCUUCCCGUUCCUCCUCCCUCUCCAGUUUCAGUCACAGAGCCAGCCUGAAAACAGGAGGAGGCUGAUUUUUGCCAGCUGCAGAGAAUUUACAUUUGAAAUUCUUGGAACUCUUGAGAGGGCCUGGGGCGACUGUUAUUCCCCCUGGCGCUGCCCCUGCUGCUGCUGAUCCCUGCUGCUGCUGCUGCUCCCCACUGCUGCUGGUUCCUUCUGUUGUGUUUGCUGCUUUUGCUAUUGCUGGACUGCUGGGUUGCUGUUUGCUGGAUUGCUGCUUGGAGAUAUCCUGACGAAGAUUGGACUUUCUCCUAGAAACUCGAUGCUCCUAAGUAAUGGAUGAAUCGUGGAUAGGUUCACAACACUGUGCCUCAGACAUGGAGAACGGGCGACUUGGAAGAGCUGAUCAAGGAGAGCGUGCAGGGAAUGAAUGUUUGCUUGUAUGUUCCGGAGUUUGGAAAAACUAUACAUUCAAGUCUGCAAGAGAUGUUGGAGUAGGCACAAAAAUCAAUACAAAAUACUAAGC